rnacentral:rRNA from 1 species
UCGGGAAUUUUGGGCAAUGGGCGAAAGCCUGACCCAGCAACGCCGCGUGAAGGAUGAAGUAUUUCGGUAUGUAAACCUCGAAAGAAUGGGAAGAAUAAAUGACGGUACCAUUUAUAAGCUCCGGCUAACUACGUGCCAGCAGCCGCGGUAAUACGUAGGGUGCAGGCGUUAAUCGGAAUUACUGGGCGUAAAGCGUGCGCAGGCGGCUCCUUAAGUCAGAUGUGAAAUCCCCGGGCUUAACCUGGGAACUGCGUUUGAAACUGAGGGGCUAGAGUGUGGAAGAGGGGGGUGGAAUUCCAGGUGUAGCAGUGAAAUGCGUAGAGAUCUGGAGGAACACCGAUGGCGAAGGCA